CCUACGGGAGGCAGCAGUAAGGAAUAUUGGUCAAUGGUGGCAACACUGAACCAGCCAUGCCGCGUGCAGGAUGAAGGUUCUAUGAAUUGUAAACUGCUUUUAUACGGGAAAAAACUUUCGAACGUGUUCGGAACUGAUGGUACCGUAAGAAUAAGGAUCGGCUAACUUCGUGCCAGCAGCCGCGGUAAGACGAAGGAUCCAAGCGUUAUCCGGAUUUAUUGGGUUUAAAGGGUGCGUAGGCGGACUUGUAAGUCAGCGGUGAAAGCCCGAUGCUUAACAUCGGAACUGCCAUUGAUACUGCAAGUCUUGAAUAUGUUUGAAGUGGGCGGAAUGUGUCGUGUAGCGGUGAAAUGCUUAGAUAUGACACAGAACACCGAUUGCGAAGGCAGCUCACUAAACCAUUAUUGACGCUGAGGCACGAAAGCGUGGGGAGCAAACAGGAUUAGAUACCCUGGUAGUCCACGCCCUAAACGUUGAAUACUCGAUGUGUGCGAUACACUGUACGNGUCCAAGAGAAAUCGUUAAGUAUUCCACGUGGGAGGUACGUCGUCGCGAGAGUAGAACCGAAACGGAAGUUAGACGGCGUGAGACGAGCGACGGACGACGACGAGGGAGGAGG
rnacentral:rRNA from 1 species